rnacentral:rRNA from 1 species
AGUUUGAUCCUGGCUCAGGAUGAACGCUAGCUACAGGCUUAACACAUGCAAGUCGAGGGGCAGCAUGAACUUAGCUUGCUAAGUUUGAUGGCGACCGGCGCACGGGUGAGUAACACGUAUCCAACCUGCCGAUGACUCGGGGAUAGCCUUUCGAAAGAAAGAUUAAUACCCGAUGGCAUAGUUCUUCCGCAUGGUGGAACUAUUAAAGAAUUUCGGUCAUCGAUGGGGAUGCGUUCCAUUAGGUUGUUGGCGGGGUAACGGCCCACCAAGCCUUCGAUGGAUAGGGGUUCUGAGAGGAAGGUCCCCCACAUUGGAACUGAGACACGGUCCAAAUCCUACGGGAGGCAGCAGUGAGGAAUAUUGGUCAAUGGACGAGAGUCUGAACCAGCCAAGUAGCGUGAAGGAUGACUGCCCUAUGGGUUGUAAACUUCUUUUAUACGGGAAUAAAGUGAGGCACGUGUGCCUUUUUGUAUGUACCGUAUGAAUAAGGAUCGGCUAACUCCGUGCCAGCAGCCGCGGUAAUACGGAGGAUCCGAGCGUUAUCCGGAUUUAUUGGGUUUAAAGGGAGCGUAGGCGGACGCUUAAGUCAGUUGUGAAAGUUUGCGGCUCAACCGUAAAAUUGCAGUUGAUACUGGGUGUCUUGAGUACAGUAGAGGCAGGCGGAAUUCGUGGUGUAGCGGUGAAAUGCUUAGAUAUCACGAAGAACUCCGAUUGCGAAGGCAGCCUGCUGGACUGUAACUGACGCUGAUGCUCGAAAGUGUGGGUAUCAAACAGGAUUAGAUACCCUGGUAGUCCACACAGUAAACGAUGAAUACUCGCUGUUUGCGAUAUACAGUAAGCGGCCAAGCGAAAGCGUUAAGUAUUCCACCUGGGGAGUACGCCGGCAACGGUGAAACUCAAAGGAAUUGACGGGGGCCCGCACAAGCGGAGGAACAUGUGGUUUAAUUCGAUGAUACGCGAGGAACCUUACCCGGGCUUGAAUUGCAACUGAAUGAUGUGGAGACAUGUCAGCCGCAAGGCAGUUGUGAAGGUGCUGCAUGGUUGUCGUCAGCUCGUGCCGUGAGGUGUCGGCUUAAGUGCCAUAACGAGCGCAACCCUUAUCGAUAGUUACCAUCAGGUGAUGCUGGGGACUCUGUCGAGACUGCCGUCGUAAGAUGUGAGGAAGGUGGA